GGCAACCACAGUUUUCUGCACUACCCCCUGAACAUGACUGAUGUCUGUAAUCUCUGAUGCAAAGGUGGGUUGGGCCUUGUUAGUACUCAGAUGGGAGGCCAUCUGGGAAUGUCAGGUGUUUUUGUUA
rnacentral:rRNA from 1 species